rnacentral:rRNA from 1 species
GUCAAACGUUGGCGGCGUGCGUAACACAUGCAAGUCGAACGAUCCUUAAGUGGCUUGCCAUUUAAGGAGAGUGGCGAACGGGUGAGUAACACGUGAGUAAUCUGCCCUCGAGCGGGGAAUAACUCCGCGAAAGCGGUGCUAAUACCACAUAAUACUCUAAAGCACAUGCUUUUAGAGUCAAAGCCCCCUAGGGGGUGCUUGAGGAUGAGCUUGCGCCAUAUUAGCUUGUUGGUGGGGUAAUGGCCUACCAAGGUUAUGAUGUGUAGCCGGCCUGAGAGGGUGUACGGCCACACUGGAACUGCGACACGGUCCAGACUCCUACGGGAGGCAGCAGUGGGGUAAUUUUGCGCAAUGGGCGAAAGCCUGACGCAGCGACGCCGCGUGGAGGAUGACGGCCGUCCGGGUUGUAAACUCCUGUCAGAGGUGAAAGAAACGUCCCUUUCGGGGGCCUGACGGUAACCUCAGAGGAAGCCCCGGCUAACUACGUG